UGCUAAACGGCCGCAUGCGUAACCAACCGCAUGAGGAAAGUCCGAGCACCACAGGGCAGGAUGCCGGGUAACGCCCGGUGGAGGCGACUCCAAGGCAAGUGCAACAGAGAUAUACCGCCCAUGCAAAUGGGUAAGGGUGGAAAGGUGAGGUAAGAGCUCACCGGCGGACUGGCGACUUUUCCGUCAUGUAAACCCCAUUCGGUGCAAGAUGUAGCGGGAGUGCUAUGGCGGCCCGCCGACUCCCCAGUAUCGCUUGAUCCAUUCGGUGACGAGUGGACUAGAUAGAUGGCCGUUCACGACAGAACUCGGCUUACCGGCAU
rnacentral:RNase_P_RNA from 1 species